rnacentral:misc_RNA from 1 species
CAACGUCGACGUAGGAUGCGGUCGAAAACGCAUGUUUCAAAUCGAAUAUCAGAAGUUCGUGUCGAGUUGCGUAAUUUACCGGAUAAUAAAAACGUAACGCUGAAAAAUGUUAUCCAUUAAUUCUAAAGCCAGAUAUCCGUUGAUAUUCGGAGGUAUACUCGCCAGCUUUUAUCUGGCAUUUACAAAUAGGUUCCGUCUCUUGGGCGAUUUGACUGAACAACGUGAGAUCUUAUAUGCAGAGGAUAAAGAGAGCAGAGUUCUUGGCGAAGAGGCGAUUAGGCAGUUAAGAAAUAAUUAACUGAUCAAAGUUACAAUUUAUGUCUUUUUAAUAUUCAUUUGAUUGUAUAUUUAGCUAUGAUCAAACUCGAAUAUGCUGUAACCUCUACUCCAAUUUUUCGUAGAUGUCUGAAAAAUCCUCCAAAUUCCGUUUAUUGGUAAACAUAUUAAUUUUCAAGACAUACCUCAACUUUUACUAUUAUAAAUGUAGUACACAGCAUUUAUCAUCUGCAUGACCAAAUUGAUUCCAAAAUCUGUAAAACUAUUUAUAGAAGAAAAAGAUUAGACAGAAGAAAGUAUGCUGAGAGAGCAUAUUAUGGAUGUGAUGUACUAUAUUAGUACUUAAGUGCUAUUUCACUGUUAAUAUUAGUUUAUGUCAAAUAAAAUAAUCAUAACGAAUUUAAUUGAAAAAUUAUAUUCACGGGCUGAGUAUAAUUACAUAAUAGAAAUAAUUAUUUAUUCACGACAUAAUAACGCUGCAAUUAUUGGCAGCAGAUGCGAAAUGUAAAUUAGUUCCUCAGAGUUUUCUUAGGACCAAUUAUCCAAUCGAACAAUCUGUUUUGCAAUCGCUGCCUUCUGAAUGUGAGGAGAAUUCUAAACACUUUGUCAAUGUUGUAAUUGAUGGGCAAUAUUGUGUAGUAUCAAUUAUUGACCAGCAUGACCAAUUCUUCAAUCAGAUAUGACUGAUAUAAAUCUCGAUUGAAUUAGAUGGUCGAAGAUGCCGCUGGAAAGGAAUUACGGACAUUUGGGAAUCGGUUCAGGAUUGCGAUGAUAUAUAAUAAAUUAAAAACACAAAACACGAACUGCACAAUGUGAUACAAUACUGGAUAUUUUUGGUGGAGUAUUACAAUUCAGCAAUGGCCUAAAUAAUGCGCACAUUCAUUCCGUCUCUUCACAUUGUAAUUCAGAGAACGCGUUCUUCUAAAGAGUAUUGCCUAAGCAAUCCCAUCAUGGAUUUCUAUUUCAUUUCCAUUUUAGGCUAUUGUUAGACUCGCCCACGGAAAUCCUUCUGUAUAAAGUU